GUCACGCCAUUCCCACCUUCUCCACUCAUUGUUCGUCUCUUUUUAAGCUUUUCUUGGUCUCAAACAACGACUAUACCUCUUUCUCUCUCUCUAGAUAUCUAUCUAUAAGUAUACUCCAUCUCUCACUCGAAUUCAAUGGCUGCGGUGUGGUUGUUGUCAUGUGGGUUUAACAAAGGGUCUCUCACAGAGGUUAUUUGGCAUUCUGUCCACCUCCAAGUACUGAUCCCUCUCUUAUACAUCCCCAAGGAGAACAACAACUCGAUGGAGGUGGGCAUCCUGCCAACUGACCUAUGUUGGCUUCUCUUUGUGAAACUCAUAUGAUAGAUCUUUUCGCCAAGUAUAAUUUCUGCAGUAAAGAAGAAGAAGAAGAAGAAGAAGAUCGAGUCCCCCACUAGGCUGGGAAGAGGAUGAGAGCUGACAACAUCAAAAGGAGAGAAAUAGAUAGGUGGACAUCAAAAUGGUGGAGUGCGUCAUUGCCUUCCCAUCGGGCGUCGAGCAAGAGGCUUGCUUGGGAAUCUCAAAGUCUCAGCAGACAACUUGAAGUCAGUAGGAAGGAGGAAUGCACAGUGAUGAAAGAGGCUAUAACUGGCAUUAGGGAGAAUGGACUUGCUCUAACACCAAUGUUUGGAUGUGAUCAUUACGAAUGAUCAGAUCAAGAGGAUGAAACCUUUUGUAAACAUACUGUUACCAUGUUAGGUAAAUGAUUGCUUACUCCCAAAUUGCAUCUGAGUUCACAUAAUAUAUUACUGAUGUUUUGAAAAGCUCAAUUGGCUUGCUUUUGUGGAGAUCAAAAGCUUGACAGUACUGGCAUUCUCUGGAUAUAUGUAUAUUGUUCUCA